CUCAGCCUUUCUUCUUAUCUUUUUCUCCUUCUCUUUCUCUCUAAACCUAAGGUAGCUGGUUGAGAAGAGAAGUUGGUGGAAUUGAUGGAUUUGGGUGAUUUGAGCUGAAAGGAGGGUUGGGAGCAAGGAAAUUAAAUGGUGGAGGUUGAAACCAGAGGUUCUAGCUCGUGCAGGGUGGUCGAGGAUCAUAGUAUGGAUAGCGUUCCAUAGAUAGUGGACAUCCAUUGAGUAUAGUUGUACCUUGUAUAUUUCAUCUGUUUAUAGUUGAUGAAAAGCAAUGUAAAUUAUUCAUUUGAGAGAUGGCAAUGUAAAUGUUAAAGAAUGUAUGUAACAAAUGAUAAGCUUUGUAUUUGAUUUAAAGUAAUCAAGAUACAAUGUAUGAAUGGUUUAGUUAGUUUACUUUCACUUGUUUGUGUUGCUUGCCCUCGU